rnacentral:rRNA from 1 species
CACCUCCAGCAUCCCUAGUAUUGGAGGCACUGCCUGCCCAGUGACUAAACGUUAAACGGCCGCGGUAUUCUGACCGUGCAAAGGUAGCAUAAUCAUUUGUCCUCUAAAUAAGGACUUGUAUGAAUGGCCACACGAGGGUUUUACUGUCUCUUACUUCCAAUCAGUGAAAUUGACCUCCCCGUGAAGAGGCGGGGAUAAAUCAACAAGACGAGAAGACCCUAUGGAGCUUUAACUAAGUAACUCAAGGAAAAUAAAUUCAACCACCAAGGGAUAACAACACUCCUUAUGAGUUAACAGUUUCGGUUGGGGUGACCUCGGAGAACAGAAAAUCCUCCGAGCGAUUUUAAAGACUAGACUAACAAGUCAAACCAAACCAUCGCUUAUUGAUCCAAAAACUUGAUCAACGGAACAAGUUACCCUAGGGAUAACAGCGCAAUCCUAUUCAAGAGUCCAUAUCGACAAUAGGGUUUACGACCUCGAUGUUGGAUCAGGACACCCCGAUGGUGCAACCGCUAUCAAAGGUUCGUUUGUUCAACGAUUAAAGUCCU